rnacentral:lncRNA from 1 species
CAAGAAGUGACAUUGGAUUGAAGUGGCCCAAACUGAAAAGAAACAUACCAGCUGAUUGAUGUUACAUGUUUCGAAUAUUGCACAUGGUAGAGGAGUAGCGUCAUCUCCAUUCGCCAUCGUUGACGUCAUCACACUGAACAUGUAAUCACAUGCUGGAGACUGGAGUUAGAGGCAGAAUUUAAAAUAAUUUGUGGAAGAAAUAAUUAUUAAUAGAUUUAAAGAAAAACA